UGGGGAAUUUUGGACAAUGGGGGCAACCUUGAUCCAGCAAUGCCGCGUGUGUGAAGAAGGCCUUCGGGUUGUAAAGCACUUUUGUCCGGAAAGAAAACGUCGUGGUUAAUACCCGUGGCGGCUGACGGUACCGGAAGAAUAAGCACCGGCUAACUACGUGCCAGCAGCCGCGGUAAUAUGUAGGGUGCAAGCGUUAAUCGGAAUUACUGGGCGUAAAGCGUGCGCAGGCGGUCCGCUAAGACAGAUGUGAAAUCCCCGGGCUUAACCUGGGAACUGCAUUUGUGACUGGCGGGCUAGAGUAUGGCAGAGGGGGGUAGAAUUCCACGUGUAGCAGUGAAAUGCGUAGAGAUGUGGAGGAAUACCGAUGGCGAAGGCAGCCCCCUGGGCCAAUACUGACGCUCAUGCACGAAAGCGUGGGGGAGCAAACAGGAUUAGAUACCCUGGUAGUCCACGCCCUAAACGAUGUCAACUA
rnacentral:rRNA from 1 species